AACUGCUUCUCUCUCUCUCUUUUACUCUUAUUCUUUCUCUCUCACUCUCUCUCUUUUCCCACCCUUAAGCCAAGUACAGGGAUAGUUGUCUCAUCAUUGGUGGCUUAAAAUGAUGUUUUUGAACAAGAAGACGCCCCAUGGGUACUUAUGGUGCUGUGCUGUCCUGAGGCCUGGGCCAUGGUGCCCAAGGAAAGCCCCUGAAGCUCACCAGGAGGAAGAAGCAUGCAGGGCACCCCUGGAGGUGGGACGCGCCCUGGGCCAUCCCCCGUGGACAGGCGGACACUCCUGGUCUUCAGCUUUAUCCUGGCAGCAGCUUUGGGCCAAAUGAAUUUCACAGGGGACCAGGUUCUUCGAGUCCUGGCCAAAGAUGAGAAGCAGCUUUCACUUCUCGGGGAUCUGGAGGGCCUGAAACCCCAGAAGGUGGACUUCUGGCGUGGCCCAGCCAGGCUCAGCCUCCCUGUGGAUAUGAGAGUUCCUUUCUCCGAACUGAAAGACAUCAAAGCUUAUCUGGAGUCCCAUGGACUUGCUUACAGCAUCAUGAUAAAGGACAUCCAGGUGCUGCUGGAUGAGGAAAGAGAGGCCAUGGCGAAAUCCCGCCGGCUGGAGCGCAGCACCAACAGCUUCAGUUACUCCUCAUACCACACCCUGGAGGAGAUAUAUAGCUGGAUUGACAACUUUGUAAUGGAGCAUUCCGAUAUUGUCUCAAAAAUUCAGAUUGGCAACAGCUUUGAAAACCAGUCCAUUCUUGUCCUGAAGUUCAGCACUGGAGGUUCUCGGCACCCAGCCAUCUGGAUUGACACUGGAAUUCACUCCCGGGAGUGGAUCACCCAUGCCACCGGCAUCUGGACUGCCAAUAAGAUUGUCAGUGAUUAUGGCAAAGACCGUGUCCUGACAGACAUACUGAAUGCCAUGGACAUCUUCAUAGAGCUCGUCACAAACCCUGAUGGGUUUGCUUUUACCCACAGCAUGAACCGCUUAUGGCGGAAGAACAAGUCCAUCAGACCUGGAAUCUUCUGCAUUGGCGUGGAUCUCAACAGGAAUUGGAAGUCGGGUUUUGGAGGAAAUGGUUCUAACAGCAACCCCUGCUCAGAAACUUAUCACGGGCCCUCCCCUCAGUCGGAGCCGGAGGUGGCUGCCAUAGUGAACUUCAUCACAGCCCAUGGCAACUUCAAGGCUCUGAUCUCCAUCCACAGCUACUCUCAGAUGCUUAUGUACCCUUACGGCCGAUCGCUGGAGCCCGUUUCAAAUCAGAGGGAGUUGGUGAGACUGGCUGCUUAGGGCCUGGGGAGAAGAGACCGCUUCACAGGAAAAUCCAUAUCUGUCAUACUCCCAGAGCGCUCAGGUUGUUACUCUGAAUGCAGGGGUCUGGACUGAUUGACCCCAUGGUGCGGGGGUGGGGUAGGGGGAGCUUGCUGUUCUCACGUGUGAUCAAGUUCAAAGCUGGAGAUGCUGUGCUCCCUUCUCACAAGGGCCAUCUCCACCUUCAACUUCCAGGACUGCUAAAUCCAUGCUUCUCACCAGCUGGUGAGGGUGGGGGAGUGUGUGGGAGCCCCUGCCUUUCACCCCGCCAAUGUCAUCUUGCAGUACGAUCUUGCCAAGGAUGCGGUGGAGGCCUUGUAUAAGGUCCAUGGGAUCGAGUACAUUUUUGGCAGCCUCAGCACCACCCUCUAUGUGGCCAGUGGGAUCACCGUCGACUGGGCCUACGACAGUGGCAUCAAGUACGCCUUCAGCUUUGAGCUCCGGGACACUGGGCAGUAUGGCUUCCUGCUGCCGGCCACACAGAUCAUCCCCACAGCCCAGGAGACGUGGAUGGCGCUUCGGACCAUCAUGGAGCACACCCUGAAUCACCCCUACUAGCAGCACGACUGAGGGCAGGAGGCUCCAUCCUUCUCCCCAAGGUCUGUGGCUCCUCCCGAAACCCAAGUUAUGCAUCCCCGUCCCCAUGCCCUCAUCCCGACCUCUUAGAAAAUAAAUACAAGUUUGAACAGGC
rnacentral:sRNA from 1 species